AGUCAUAAAACUGCAUGAGUAUCACACUUUGUGCUCUAAUUUUGCAUAAAUCUUCAAAGCCAGAUCCUCAAAAAGAGAAAAAAAAGGUAGUAACCUCACGGGCUCUGAAAAUGAUGGCUCUAUACUCUGCUUAAGUAUUAGAAAAGACAACUGCAAUUUGUGGGGAUAUUAUUAAAACUGCUUUAAGUAUGAAUAAUGUAUGUGUUAUUAAAUGUAGUAGAGAUAGGGUUAGGAGGGCACACUCUCUUGCUGCCAUGGCAAGAAGGGGUGGAAACUAAGAUUUUUUUUCUGUGGUUUGUUAGUUUGUACCUACUGCCAAAAAAAAAAAAACACAGGUGAUGCAUUCUCUGCAGUUUCUGAUUGAGGUACGGAUGGGAUAUCAGCUAAUACAAGCUGCUGAAUCCUAGGUGGUAGAUAGAAUUGAAGGAGAAUGGUAGAUAAAAGGAUGGCAAGAAGGGCAUAGAUUGAAGUUUUUUUGGACUGAUUUUUGGACAAAUAAAUUAAAUACUAGAUAGCUUUUAGAUUGCUGGAACCAUUAGUUAUUUUUCGAGAUUCAUUAGUUUUCUAAUUGAUGUAUUUAUAAAUUAACUAUUCUUUUUGUUAUUAGAAUGAUUGUUAUGGAUAUUUUAUUUUAAUAAUAAGUAGAACUUAAUUUCAAAUAAAUGUUUUCUAUUUGUAGUAGUUGGAUAUUUUGGUAUAAUAUUUUCACUCUAAUGAGCUACUAAAUAAACGCGUAUGAAACUGUUGCUAUAAGCU